CGGAGGGUGCAAGCGUUAUCCGGAUUCACUGGGUUUAAAGGGUGCGUAGGUGGGUCUGUAAGUCAGUGGUGAAAUCUCCAAGCUUAACUUGGAAACUGCCGUUGAUACUAUAGAUCUUGAAUGUUGUGGAGGUGAGCGGAAUAUGUCAUGUAGCGGUGAAAUGCUUAGAUAUGACAUAGAACACCAAUUGCGAAGGCAGCUCACUACACAAAGAUUGACACUGAGGCACGAAAGCGUGGGGAUCAAACAGGAUUAGAUACCCUGGUAGUCCACGCCCUAAACUAUGGAUACUCGACAUACGCGAUACACUGUGUGUGUCUGAGCGAAAGCAUUAAGUAUCCCACCUGGGAAGUACGACCGCAAGGUUG
rnacentral:rRNA from 1 species